rnacentral:rRNA from 1 species
ACGCUGGCGGCACGCUUAACACAUGCAAGUCGAACGAGAUCUUCGGAUCUAGUGGCAGACGGGUGCGUAACGCGUGGGAACCUGCCCUUUAGUAAGGAAUAACUCAGGGAAACUUGUGCUAAUACCUUAUAAUCCCUUCGGGGGAAAGCUUUAUGCGCUAAUGGAUGGGCCCGCGUUAGAUUAGCUUGUUGGUGAGGUAAUGGCUCACCAAGGCGACGAUCUAUAGCUGGUCUGAGAGGAUGAUCAGCCACACUGGGACUGAGACACGGCCCAGACUCCUACGGGAGGCAGCAGUGGGGAAUAUUGGACAAUGGGGGCAACCCUGAUCCAGCGAUGCCGCGUGAGUGAUGAAGGCCUUAGGGUUGUAAAACUCUUUCGCUAGGGAAGAUAAUGACGGUACCUAGUAAAGAAGAUCCGGCUAACUCCGUGCCAGCAGCCGCGGUAAUACGGAGGGAUCUAGCGUUAUUCGGAAUAACUGGGCGUAAAGCGAGCGUAGGCGGAUUUGUAAGUUGGAGGUGAAAUCCCAGGGCUUAACCCUGGAACUGCCUUCAAAACUACAUUUCUUGAGUUUGGUAGAGGAGAGUGGAAUUCCUAGUGUAGAGGUGAAAUUCGUAGAUAUUAGGAGGAACACCAGUGGCGAAGGCGACUCUCUGGGCCAAUACUGACGCUGAGGUUCGAAAGCGUGGGGAGCAAACGGGAUUAGAUACCCCGGUAGUCCACGCAGUAAACGAUGAGUGCUAGAUGUUGGGAACAUUAGUUUUCAGUAUCGCAGCUAACGCGUUAAGCACUCCGCCUGGGAAGUACGGCCGCAAGGCUAAAACUCAAAUGAAUUGACGGGGACCCGCACAAGCGG